rnacentral:rRNA from 1 species
GACGAACGCUGGCGGCGUGCCUAAUACAUGCAAGUCGAGCGGGCUUAAAAGGAGCUUGCUUCUUUUAAGUUAGCGGCGGACGGGUGAGUGACACGUGGGCAACCUGCCCUAUAGUUUGGGAUAACUCCGGGAAACCGGGGCUAAUACCGUAUAAUACAUUUUAACUCCUGUUAGAAUGUUGAAAGAUGGUUUACGCUAUCGCUAUAGGAUGGGCCCGCGGCGCAUUAGCUAGUAGGUGAGGUAACGGCUCACCUAGGCGACGAUGCGUAGCCGACCGGGGAGGAUGAUCGGCCACACUGGGACUGAGACACGGCCCAGACUCCUACGGGAGGCAGCAGUAGGGAAUCUUCCAAAAUGGACGAAAGUCUGAUGGAGCAACGCCGCGUGAGUGAAGAAGGUUUUCGGAUCGUAAAACUCUGUUGUAAGGGAAGAAUAAGUGCAGUAGUAACUGGCUGCACCUUGACGGUACCUUAUUAGAAAGCCACGGCUAACUACGUGCCAGCAGCCGCCGUAACAC